GUGGAACAAUAUGGAAAAUAGUCAAAGAUGGAGAAGAAGAAAUUGUUUAUGCAGUUGACUUCAACCACAAGAGGGAGAUCCAUUUAAAUGGAUGUUCCCUGGAAAUGCUAAGCAGGCCUUCCCUACUUAUCACAGAUUCAUUCAAUGCUACAUAUGUACAGCCUAGAAGAAAACAGAGAGAUGAGCAGCUUCUGACAAAUGUCCUGGAAACACUUCGAGGUGAUGGAAAUGUGUUAAUAGCAGUGGACACAGCAGGCAGAGUUUUGGAACUUGCUCAACUUCUUGAUCAGAUUUGGAGGACUAAAGAUGCAGGAUUGGGUGUUUACUCAUUGGCACUCCUAAAUAAUGUCAGUUACAAUGUGGUGGAGUUUUCUAAGUCCCAGGUAGAAUGGAUGAGUGAUAAAUUGAUGAGAUGUUUUGAAGACAAAAGAAAUAAUCCGUUUCAGUUUCGCCAUCUCUCUUUAUGUCAUGGUCUUUCUGACUUGGCCCGUGUACCUAGCCCUAAAGUUGUACUUGCCAGCCAACCUGACCUGGAAUGCGGAUUUUCAAGGGAUCUCUUUAUUCAGUGGUGUCAGGACCCUAAAAACUCAAUCAUUCUAACCUACAGAACUACUCCUGGGACUUUAGCACGUUUCCUAAUUGAUAAUCCUUCUGAAAAAAUUACAGAAAUAGAGUUGAGGAAACGUGUGAAGCUUGAAGGGAAAGAACUUGAAGAAUACUUGG
rnacentral:lncRNA from 1 species